UACGCAGUCCAUACCUCUACCUCUGAUGAAGUAGAAAGGCUGUUUCCGAAAGACCCCCGGCUCAAGGCACAAGAUAUCACACAAACACAUAGUAAAGCACAGAAGCAGAUGACAUAACAUAAAUACGGCACCCAUAAGGAAUAUAAAACAGAGGAAAGCAGAGAAAAGCACACAGAUUCGUAAUAAGCAUGGAACACUGAAUACGGAANNNNNNNNNNNNNNNNNNNNNNNNNNNNNCCUCCACUAGCCACCCAAUCUGGCCCCACUCUUCUGCCGUAAUUCGCGUCUUUCAGACCUUCCUAUCUAGGGUCAUGUCCUCGGUGAGCUAUAACUGUUCCAUGUCCCGCCUAAUCACCUCACCCCAGUACUUCUUCGGUCUACCCCUACCCCGUCUAAAACCAUCCAACGCUAGCCUCUCACACCUACGGACCGGGGCAUCCAUGCCCCUCCUCUUCACGUGUCCGAACCAUCUCAAUCGUGCUUCCCGCAUCUUACACUCCACUGAAGUCACCCCAACCUUCUCCCGGAUAGUCUCAUUCCGAGCUCUAUCCCUUCGGGUCAGUCCACACAUCCAGCGCAACAUCCGCAUUUCUGCCACC
rnacentral:lncRNA from 1 species